rnacentral:rRNA from 1 species
GACGAACGCUGGCGGCGUGCCUAAUACAUGCAAGUCGAACGAACUCUGGUAUUGAUUGGUGCUUGCAUCAUGAUUUACAUUUGAGUGAGUGGCGAACUGGUGAGUAACACGUGGGAAACCUGCCCAGAAGCGGGGGAUAACACCUGGAAACAGAUGCUAAUACCGCAUAACAACUUGGACCACAUGGUCCGAGCUUGAAAGAUGGCUUCGGCUAUCACUUUUGGAUGGUCCCGCGGCGUAUUAGCUAGAUGGUGGGGUAAUGGCUCACCAUGGCAAUGAUACGUAGCCGACCUGAGAGGGUAAUCGGCCACAUUGGGACUGAGACACGGCCCAAACUCCUACGGGAGGCAACAGUAGGGAAUCUUCCACAAUGGACGAAAGUCUGAUGGAGCAACGCCGCGUGAGUGAACAAGGGUUUCGGCUCGUAAAACUCUGUUGUUAAAGAAGAACAUAUCUGAGAGUAACUGUUCAGGUAUUGACGGUAUUUAACCAGAAAGCCACGGCUAACUACGUGCCAGCCGCCGCCGUAA